GACGAACGCUGGCGGCGUGCUUAACACACGCAAGUCGAACGGAAAGGCCCUUCGGGGUACUCGAGUGGCGAACGGGUGAGUAACACGUGGGUGAUCUGCCCUGCACUUUGGGAUAAGCCUGGGAAACUGGGUCUAAUACCGAAUAGGACCACGCGCUUCAUGGUGUGUGGUGGAAAGCUUUUGCGGUGUGGGAUGGGCCCGCGGCCUAUCAGCUUGUUGGUGGGGUAAUGGCCUACCAAGGCGACGACGGGUAGCCGGCCUGAGAGGGUGACCGGCCACACUGGGACUGAGAUACGGCCCAGACUCCUACGGGAGGCAGCAGUGGGGAAUAUUGCACAAUGGGCGCAAGCCUGAUGCAGCGACGCCGCGUGAGGGAUGACGGCCUUCGGGUUGUAAACCUCUUUCAAUAGGGACGAAGCGCAAGUGACGGUACCUAUAGAAGAAGCACCGGCCAACUACGUGCCAGCAGCCGCGGUAAUACGUAGGGUGCGAGCGUUGUCCGGAAUUACUGGGCGUAAAGAGCUCGUAGGUGGUUUGUCGCGUUGUUCGUGAAAACUCACAGCUUAACUGUGGGCGUGCGGGCGAUACGGGCAGACUAGAGUACUGCAGGGGAGACUGGAAUUCCUGGUGUAGCGGUGGAAUGCGCAGAUAUCAGGAGGAACACCGGUGGCGAAGGCGGGUCUCUGGGCAGUAACUGACGCUGAGGAGCGAAAGCGUGGGGAGCGAACAGGAUUAGAUACCCUGGUAGUCCACGCCGUAAACGGUGGGUACUAGGUGUGGGUUCCUUCCUUGGGAUCCGUGCCGUAGCUAACGCAUUAAGUACCCCGCCUGGGGAGUACGGCCGCAAGGCUAAAACUCAAAGGAAUUGACGGGGGCCCGCACAAGCGGCGGAGCAUGUGGAUUAAUUCGAUGCAACGCGAAGAACCUUACCUGGGUUUGACAUGCACAGGACGCCGGCAGAGAUGUCGGUUCCCUUGUGGCCUGUGUGCAGGUGGUGCAUGGCUGUCGUCAGCUCGUGUCGUGAGAUGUUGGGUUAAGUCCCGCAACGAGCGCAACCCUUGUCCUAUGUUGCCAGCGGGUUAUGCCGGGGACUCGUAGGAGACUGCCGGGGUCAACUCGGAGGAAGGUGGGGAUGACGUCAAGUCAUCAUGCCCCUUAUGUCCAGGGCUUCACACAUGCUACAAUGGCCGGUACAAAGGGCUGCGAUGCCGUGAGGUGGAGCGAAUCCUUUCAAAGCCGGUCUCAGUUCGGAUCGGGGUCUGCAACUCGACCCCGUGAAGUCGGAGUCGCUAGUAAUCGCAGAUCAGCAACGCUGUGGUGAAUACGUUCCCGGGCCU
rnacentral:rRNA from 1 species